GAGAUUUAUUACAAGGUACUGGUUCAUGUGACUAUGGAGGUAGAGAAGUCCGUUAUCAGCUGUAUGCAAGCUGGUGAUCCAGGAAUGCCGGUGGUGUGGUCCAAAGGCCUAAGAGCCAGAGGGCCAACGGUGUAGGAUUCAGUCCUGGUCUGAAGGCCCAAGAUCCAGGAGCACCGAAAACAGGAGAAGAUCGAUGUCCUCGCUCAGUCAGACAGUCAGAGAGCAAAUCUAACCUUUCUCUGCUUUUUUGUUCUAUAAGGCCCUCAACAGAUUGGAUGAUGCCCACCCACACUGGGCAGGGCCAUCUGCAUUACUCAGUUCACCAGUUCAAGUGCUGACCUGCUCCAGAAAUGUCCUUGCAGACACCUGCAGAAAUAACAUUUAACCAGACGCACCCCCUGUCAAGGCCGAAACUAAGCCGACAUCAGGAAGCCUUGCGGCAUCCCCCAAGGGCGUCAUCCACCCCCUCCCUACAGCCCUCUGUAUUAAGGUGUGAGCUGUCUCUCCUAGUCCAAGGCAGCCGGCCAGGUUCCAGCUGGGAGGCAGAGCUGGGCCAGCACCGCACAGCUGAACAGGUGAGCUCUGUUCUCAACAGCGACACCGUGUGGCAGGAGGAAGCGAUGGCAGUGUGGUCUGAGCAGGUGUGGGUCUUUGCCCACUUGGCUGUGGAGUGAAGACCGACCCUCCCUCUCCGUCCGUAGGGCUCAAGGCCGCUCCAGGAAGACAUCCCGGCCUUCCUGCCUUUGAGACACUAAGGCAAACAGGGACGAUGAAUACGUAGCGGCUGAAAAACAAGUGGCCAGACCAUACUUGCCCCCACUUGUUGGAG
rnacentral:lncRNA from 1 species